rnacentral:rRNA from 1 species
GUGUCAGCCGCCGCGGUAAAACGUAGGUGGCAAGCGUUAUCCGGAUUCACUGGGCGUAAAGCGCACGCAGGCGGCUCGGUAGGUAGGGCAUGAAAUCUCCUGGCAUAACUAGGAGACGCUGUCCUAAACCCCCGAGCUUGAGGAUGGGAGAGGGCUGUGGAAUUGCCGGUGUAGUGGUGAAAUGCGUAGAGAUCGGCAGGAACACCAGUGGCGUAAGCGACAGCCUGGCCCAUAUCUGACGCUCAGGUGCGAAAGCUAGGGGAGCGAACGGGAUUAGAAACCCGUGUAGUCC